AGGCUGCACGUGAUGACUGCAUAGUUCAGCAGAUGACUCGUGAUGAUCACAUUGCUACUGUCUUUCGCUCCUGUCUGAUGCAGCCU
rnacentral:snoRNA from 1 species